AACCCAUGUUGAGGACAUUUCCGUAGGAGAUCCUUGAACCCUUCCCAUGUCUCAAAGAGAGACUCCAAUUCCAUUUGCACAAAAGAAGAGAUAUCACUCCUAAGCUU